rnacentral:lncRNA from 1 species
GAUGUUGGUUAGUGGGGUUGAGAACUCUAAAGAAAAAGGCCAGCAUUAUUGAGGUGAAAUCUGGUAAGUAUUCCUUGUGUUCAGCAACCAGAAGUUGUCCUGAAGGCACCAAGGAGUCAUUUCAAGCUGUCAGUUAAGUCUCCCACAUAGUACUAGUCUUGGCUUCAUGGAAGCAACAAGAUUGAAGCUACUGAGAGAGACAUUUCUAUACUGGAGAGUCCAGGACUGUGGCAGGUGUGAAGUGGAGCCAGCCUGAGACUACAAAGGGAGCUUCUUGUAUUGCAAGUGGCAGAGCUGAAGAGGAUCUUCCUAAGGAAGCCCUUUGGAGCCAGAACAUGAUCCAACUGUUGCUGUGUUUUCAGAUGAUUGUUAGGGCUUCCUAGCCCAUGGUAAUGUCUAUAUUGUUAUCAUGGUCGACCUAGAGGAACACUGCACAAUGCGAUUGAUGUUUCAUUUAACUGGGAUUUUCACCGAGUGGAGAUGAAGCUUGGAGACUGAGGUGAAAACAUGAGAGAGCUUGAAAGCCCUGGUGUACUGAAGUCUCCACUGAAAUGUUGCCUGCAGAGUUGCAGAUACUGCAGACUGAUGGAGGUCUUGAAGUGCUUAAAUAGCUUCCACAUAGUUGGCAGGGAGCAUACCGGUCCUGCCAGUUCUCUGCACAGUGCCAUACAUCCAGCCUUCAUCAAUCGCCUGAGCAUUCACUAUAGCAUCUCCAUCCUUAAAGGACACUUCAUCCGCAUCUGCAGCUAUAUAGUCAUAUAUAGCACGGAAGAUUUUCUGUUCAUGGGAAUGAAAACAAGGAAAAUGCCAUAUAUUGGUAAGAGUAUAUAACCUUUUCCAUAAAUUCAAGUUACAAAGAACAGUGUGCAGCUACCACUAAAACAAAACAACAAAAGCACAUGUAAAAUAUUUCCAAGUCAUUUGCUGGUAAGUUUAUACUUGGAAUAUAUGAAGGCCUCUAACACCA